rnacentral:tRNA from 1 species
GCCUUUGUGGUGUAAUGGUCAACAUGCUCGACGCGUAUUCGAGAGGUCCGUGGUUCGAGUCCCGGCGAGGGCA